CGGCGUGCCUAACACAUGCAAGUCGAACGGAAAUAGCAAUAUUUGAGUGGCGCACGGGUGAGUAACACGUAGCUAAUCUACCUCAAAGCGCGGGAUAACGUGUCGAAAGACAGGCUAAUACCGCAUAAGCUCCCGAUCUGUAGAGGGUUGGGAGAAAAGGCGCAAGUCACUUUGAGAUGAGGCUGCGGCCCAUCAGCUAGUUGGUGCGGUAACGGCGUACCAAGGCGACGACGGGUAGGGGACCUGAGAGGGUGACCCCCCACACUGGGACUGAGACACGGCCCCAGACUCCUACGGGAGGCAGCAGUGAGGAAUAUUGCACAAUGGGCGAAAGCCUGAUGCAGCGACGCCGCGUGGGGUGAAGAAGGUUUUCGGAUCGUAAAACCCUUUUCUGUGUGACGAGCAAGGACGGUAGCACAGGAAUAAGUCUCGGCUAACUACGUGCCAGCAGCCGCGGUAAAACGUAGGAGACAAACGUUAUCCGGAGUUACUGGGCGUAAAGGGCGUGUAGGUGGUUUUGUAAGUCUGGCGUGAAAUAUC
rnacentral:rRNA from 1 species